rnacentral:rRNA from 1 species
UCGCAUGGUCUUCUGGGAAGCUUUCGCGGUAUGGGAUGGGGUCGCGUCCUAUCAGCUUGACGGCGGGGUAACGGCCCACCGUGGCUUCGACGGGUAGCCGGCCUGAGAGGGCGACCGGCCACAUUGGGACUGAGAUACGGCCCAGACUCCUACGGGAGGCAGCAGUGGGGAAUAUUGCACAAUGGGCGCAAGCCUGAUGCAGCGACGCCGCGUGAGGGAUGGAGGCCUUCGGGUUGUAAACCUCUUUUAUCGGGGAGCAAGCGAGAGUGAGUUUACCCGUUGAAUAAGCACCGGCUAACUACGUGCCAGCAGCCGCGGUAAUACGUAGGGUGCAAGCGUUAUCCGGAAUUAUUGGGCGUAAAGGGCUCGUAGGCGGUUCGUCGCGUCCGGUGUGAAAGUCCAUCGCUUAACGGUGGAUCCGCGCCGGGUACGGGCGGGCUUGAGUGCGGUAGGGGAGACUGGAAUUCCCGGUGUAACGGUGGAAUGUGUAGAUAUC